AUUAAAAGAUGGCUGUGGAGUCUGAAAAACUCAUAGAUCGUGUGUUGAUAUCAGCUUCUGCUCUUGCAUUUUCUAUGGGAUUGGAGUUAAAUGACAGCACUACAUUU